rnacentral:rRNA from 1 species
UGGGGAAUAUUGGACAAUGGGCGAAAGCCUGAUCCAGCCAUGCCGCGUGUGUGAAGAAGGUCUUCGGAUUGUAAAGCACUUUAAGUUGGGAGGAAGGGCAUUAACCUAAUACGUUAGUGUUUUGACGUUACCGUCAGAAUAAGCACCGGCUAACUCUGUGCCAGCAGCCGCGGUAAUACAGAAGGUGCAAGCGUUAAUCGGAAUUACUGGGCGUAAAGCGCGCGUAGGUGGUUUGUUAAGUUGGAUGUGAAAGCCCCGGGCUCAACCUGGGAACUGCAUCCAAAACUGGCAAGCUAGAGUACGGUAGAGGGUGGUGGAAUUUCCUGUGUAGCGGUGAAAUGCGUAGAUAUAGGAAGGAACACCAGUGGCGAAGGCGACCACCUGGACUGAUACUGACACUGAGGUGCGAAAGCGUGGGGAGCAAACA